CGCGUAGGUGGCUGGUCAAGUGCGCGGUGAAAGCCCGGGGCUCAACCCCGGGUCGGCCGUGCAGACUGGGCAGCUUGAGCACUGUAGGGGCGGGUGGAAUUCCGGGUGUAGCGGUGGAAUGCGUAGAGAUCCGGAAGAACACCGGUGGCGAAGGCGGCCCGCUGGGCAGGAAGACGUCGUAAGACGUCGGCUGACACUGAGGCGCGACAGCGUGGGGAGCAAACAGGAUUAGAUACCCUGGUAGUCCACGCCGUAAACGAUGGGCACUAGGUGCUUGGGGGAGCGACCCUCCGAGUGCCGGCGCUAACGCAUUAAGUGCCCCGCCUGGGGAGUACGGCCGCAAGGCUGAA
rnacentral:rRNA from 1 species